UGAAAAUCAAAGCAAAAAAAGUUGGUCAUCGUUGGCUCUACUGAGACAGAGAGUGAUGAAGAAGAGUACUUGGCUGAGUUAACUCAUCAAAUGGCCCACUCCACCCUUGAAGAUGAUUUUAAGAAAAACGACCUCCCUUGCAGCACCGAAAAGACUAAGGUUGGGUGCAGUUGUAGACAAGGAUCUAGCCGUGGAAGCCCGAAUGGGUCUUCACCUCCAGCAACUUGGGAUCUGCUGUAUGAGAUUGCAGGAGAAGUAGAGAGGACCAUUGGGUUUGAACCGGUUUGGAAGGGAAAAAAACCGAACCGAACCGAACCGAAAUUAAUCGGUUUGAACCGGUUUUCGGUUCAGUUCGGUUCAAAAAAUUAAAAAAAUAAUAAUUCGGUUUGGUUGUUUAUUUUGGUUCAAAACCGGACCGAACCGGAAAUGCUCAGCCCUAAUAGCAAGUAGACAAAAAAAAAGAGAGGGGGGAAAAUUGAGAGAUUGUAAAAGAAGAGAGUCAAAGAAAUGGUGGGAACCCAACAACUGCAAAACCCUAAGGAUGGAACCCCAAUCACCAAGAAAGAGCAAUGGCAGAUACACUACUCUCGCUUCUUCAAUUUCCCUUCUCUCCCAUCAUCAACGUGUCCCACUCUCCAGCCUCGCAAGAAAGACAAUGCUUAGGGCUUCUGGCUCUCUGCUUCUUCAGUGGCCUUUGUACAGCUCAUCAUUGACCAAAAUGCUCGUGGAAUGGUCCUCACUGUCACUUUUAAAGGAAAAAUCUAUGUGGGUUUUUGAUGUUUUCGCUUAUUGUUUCUUUAUUUUAGUUCCUAAUGUUUCUUCUUGCUGAAAUAGUCUAAUACAAUGCAUCGUGGUUUCUGGGAUUUCUUUGAUUUGAAUUGUAGAUUUAAAGGGUUUUUGCGGGAUUUGUCCUUUUUUUUUUUUGUGGGAUUCCAUUUAUAUGGCUUCACAUCAUGAAAAGGGACUAAUUGGAAUUACCCUCAUCAUCUGCAUAUAGAUUGAUUUAUUUUAUGAUUUGAAAUUCAUUAGUAAACAGAGAAAAAGUCAUUGUGAUUGUAUAUGUUAAUCAUAUUGUUUAAUGUUUGUAAACUUAUCUUGAUUAUUAUUUUUUUCUUUUUUACUUU